rnacentral:rRNA from 1 species
UACGUAGGGGGCGAGCGUUGUCCGGAAUCAUUGGGCGUAAAGCGCGUGUAGGCGGCCCGGUAAGUCCGCUGUGAAAGUCCAGGGCUCAACCCUGGGAUGCCGGUGGAUACUGUCGGGCUCGAGUCCGGAAGAGGCGAGUGGAAUUCCUGGUGUAGCGGUGAAAUGCGCAGAUAUCAGGAGGAACACCAAUGGCGAAGGCAGCUCGCUGGGCCGGACCUGACGCUGAGGCGCGAAGGCGUGGGGAGCGAACGGG